CAGCCGCCGCGGUAAUACGUAGGGUGCGAGCGUUAAUCGGAAUUACUGGGCGUAAAGCGUGCGCAGGCGGUUCGUUAAGACAGAUGUGAAAUCCCCGGGCUUAACCUGGGAACUGCAUUUGUGACUGGCGAGCUAGAGUAUGGCAGAGGGGGGUAGAAUUCCACGUGUAGCAGUGAAAUGCGUAGAGAUGUGGAGGAAUACCGAUGGCGAAGGCAGCCCCCUGGGCCAAUACUGACGCUCAUGCACGAAAGCGUGGGGAGCAAACAGGAUUAGAUACCCCUGUAGUCCCUGUCUCUUAUAC
rnacentral:rRNA from 1 species